CGCUUGUCCGGCACUUUGCAACAACACAGCCUUGUUUCGGCAGCGACUUUUAGCAUGUUCCCUAUUACAAUGUCUGACUUUAAAAUUUGCGUGGCGUGAGAAAGUCACAUACCACGCGAAAUCUGAUCAGAGCGUUCGGACUGAAGCAGAUUUCCAGAUAUGUGAUUUAAUAGGAUUGUGGACAUAUGGAUGUAGCUUGAAACGGAUUUCAUGUGCUUUUUUUGGACUGACAAUCUGAACGUAGCCUAUGUGGGAUAAGAAAUAGAAGGAUGAAUAGCAGUAAGGGCUAGAGAAACUAGCUCGUUCAGAUCUUUACCAGAUAUUAACUUUAGUUCGUCAAAAAUCCACGCUCUUUCCUGCUUACUAAGUCUAGCCUAUAUGAUUUUGCAGCUUCCAUGUGUUUUUUUCGUAGUUAAGACAUCAUAAAUUAGUGUAACAAUGUGUUCAGUAGUACAUAAACAGUGCAAUCAAUGCUGUUGUUUACAUCCGAGUAUCUCGAAUAUAGCCGCGCAUCCGGGUAACUGGCCAAAUCGUGACGUGGGUGCAAACCCUCUAUUGAUUAUUUUUAUAAUGUCUUACGUUUCUGAAGCUUGAAAGUGGUAGUUGCAUAAACUGUGAAAUUGAGGGACAGAAACCUCUCAGAUUUCAUUAAAAAUAUCUUUCAAAGAUGAACGAAAGUCUUACAGGUUUGCAACGACAUGAAGGUGAGUGACGAACAUUUUUGGUUAAAUUCUACACAUUAAAUCAGUUCCCUCAGAGGCACCAACAGAUAUCUUCCUGAUCUCCGAUCUUCUGGUUCUUCUGCUCCUUCCACCAUCCCAACCCCGGAUUAUUAAGCCACGACUUAAGUUUUUACUUGAAAUGCUUUAGCCUGGUGAGAAAGAAAACAAUAACCAAAAUGUACAUUUAAAAAAA